AGAUUGUUAUGUCAAUCGGCUUGAUAGAAAUUCCCAGACAGGAGAGGUUCCUACAAAUCUUUGUAAGAGAUGAGUUUGGAUAAUGAAGUUGGAGUGUUGCAGCAAGAAACAAAGAUAUUGGAGCAAGUUCCUGGGAUGAAACUCACACAAGAGACCAAGAAACUAAGGCAGGCUUGUUUUAAAGUUAAUUACAAAAGGAAGAAACUUUUGGCCUCCAAAUCUCACUCAUCAUCACUUAGCUAAGCUACUUGUCUUGUAUAUUCAUAUUCUAAGUAGUAAAAACAACACUUAUUAGAUGGUUUAAAUACGUUAUUAGAUAUUAACAUAUUUUAGGAAACUAUAUGGCAGAUUUGACU